UGUAUGAUGGGGAAGAAAAAAAAAAGGCGGGAAUUAAAAGAAUUAUUAAGAGGAAAAUUUAAAGCUGGGCAAAAGGGGAAAAUCGAAAGCAUCGGAAAACGCACCAGUGUCACCGGAGAUCAUAGCUUCCGGCGAUUUCAGCGUCUAUGCCGGUUCAAGUUGUGUGAGAAAUCAAUCGGCGGAGAAACGAACCGAGAGAGUCACGGGAACCCUAGACCGAAUCACAUUUGGAGAUUUCAGGAUAUCUUUGAUGAUCUCAAGUGUUGGCUAGUAAAUGUAUCCUCCAUGGUCAACACUACGGUUACCUUUGCUAUUAAUUGUGUGGCGGACUCCUGGGUUGGUGUUGCUGAAGAAGGGAGUUGUCAUGAUUAUGGUCAAGUUCAGGGUCCAAGGUUAUCUUCAAAACUUGAAUCAUGCAACAGAGCUAACAAUUGAAGCUAUGUUCGCAGAGGUGAAAAGUGAUCGAUUGGAGUCUUUUCGUCCCUUUGGAGUGUUAUCGUUCUCUUGCACGUGUGGUAAGUAUCUGAUGGAAUGUUUGAAAGGUAUACAGAGAGCCUCUAUUAAGAUAUUUGCCCAAUAUUUCUUUUGUUUUUUUUGGUGAAUGGUGUUUACGGUGUAAGUUUUUGAAUAAUGAUGAUGACGAACUUUGACAAUUUUAAACUUUUGUUGUCUUUUUGGUGAGAUCGAAGUCUUGGUAGCACAAAGAUAUCUCGCAUCAAACUGGUUCGUUGUUUAGUUACUGGUCCAGUUUAAUAUGAAUGCUAGAUGUUUUUUUUUUCUUCC